rnacentral:rRNA from 1 species
GACGUAGGGCGCGAGCGUUGUUCGGAAUUACUGGGCGUAAAGGGCUCGUAGGCGGCCAACUAAGUCAGACGUGAAAUCCCUCGGCUUAACCGGGGAACUGCAUCUGAUACUGGAUGGCUUGAGUUCGGGAGAGGGAUGCGGAAUUCCAGGUGUAGCGGUGAAAUGCGUAGAUAUCUGGAGGAACACCGGUGGCGAAGGCGGCAUCCUGGACCGACACUGACGCUGAGGAGCGAAAGCCAGGGGAGCAAACGGG